CCUACGGGAGGCAGCAGUAAGGAAUAUUGCGCAAUGGGCGAAAGCCUGACGCAGCGACGCCGCGUGGGGGAUGAAGGUCUUCGGAUUGUAAACCCCUUUCGGGAGGGAAGAUGGAAUGAGCAAUCAUUCGGACGGUACCUCCAGAAGCAGCCACGGCUAACUUCGUGCCAGCAGCCGCGGUAAUACGAAGGUGGCAAGCGUUGUUCGGAUUUACUGGGCGUACAGGGAGCGUAGGCGGUUUAGUAAGCCCUUUGUGAAAUCUCCAGGCUUAACCUGGAACAGUCGGAGGGGACUGCUAAGCUAGAGUACGGGAGAGGAGCGCGGAAUUCCCGGUGUAGCGGUGAAAUGCGUAGAGAUCGGGAGGAAGGCCGGUGGCGAAGGCGGCGCUCUGGAACGUUUCUGACGCUGAGGCUCGAAAGCGUGGGGAGCAAACAGGAUUAGAUACCCUGGUAGUCCACGCCUUAAACUAUGAAUACUAAGUGUCGGCGGUUUAACCGCCGGUUGCCGCAGCUACGCAUUAAGUAUUCCGUCCGUGGUAAGGUACGGCCGCGAGGUUAGAACGUACAAGGAAGUUAGACGGCGUGAGACGUGCCGACGGACGACGACGAGGGAGUAGG
rnacentral:rRNA from 1 species